UACGUAGGGUGCGAGCGUUAAUCGGAAUUACUGGGCGUAAAGCGUGCGCAGGCGGUUUUGUUAGACAGAGGUGAAACCCCCGGGCUCAACCUGGGAACUGCCUUUGUGACUGCAUGACUAGAGUACGGCAGAGGGGGGUGGAAUUCCGCGUGUAGCAGUGAAAUGCGUAGAUAUGCGGAGGAACACCGAUGGCGAAGGAAAUCCCCUGGGCCUGUACUGACGCUCAUGCACGAAAGCGUGGGGAGCAAACAGG
rnacentral:rRNA from 1 species